AUACGGAGGGGGCUAGCGUUGUUCGGAAUUACUGGGCGUAAAGCGCACGUAGGCGGAUUAAAAAGUUAGAGGUGAAAUCCCAGGGCUUAACCCUGGAACUGCCUUUAAAACUAGUAGUCUAGAGUUCGAGAGAGGUGAGUGGAAUUCCAAGUGUAGAGGUGAAAUUCGUAGAUAUUUGGAGGAACACCAGUGGCGAAGGCGGCUCACUGGCUCGAUACUGACGCUGAGGUGCGAAAGCGUGGGGAGCAAACAGGAGUAGAAACCCCUGUAGUCC
rnacentral:rRNA from 1 species